rnacentral:rRNA from 1 species
GAUGAACGCUGGCGUCGUGCCUAAUACAUGCAAGUCGAGCGAACGGACGAGAAGCUUGCUUCUCUGAUGUUAGCGGCGGACGGGUGAGUAACACGUGGAUAACCUACCUAUAAGACUGGGAUAACUUCGGGAAACCGGAGCUAAUACCGGAUGAUAUUUUGAACCGCAUGGUUCAAAAGUGAAAGACGGUCUUGCUGUCACUUAUAGAUGGAUCCGCGCUGCAUUAGCUAGUUGGUAAGGUAACGGCUUACCAAGGCAACGAUGCAUAGCCGACCUGAGAGGGUGAUCGGCCACACUGGAACUGAGACACGGUCCAGACUCCUACGGGAGGCAGCAGUAGGGAAUCUUCCGCAAUGGGCGAAAGCCUGACGGAGCAACGCCGCGUGAGUGAUGAAGGUCUUCGGAUCGUAAAACUCUGUUAUUAGGGAAGAACAUAUGUGUAAGUAACUGUGCACAUCUUGACGGUACCUAAUCAGAAAGCCACGGUUAACUACGUG